rnacentral:lncRNA from 1 species
AUAAUGAGAAUAAUAAAGAUUCUCAAAAUAAUCUUUCACUUUAUGAAAGUAAUAUUUGACAUGAGAUUGUGUAAAGCACAUGAUUAUAAUCCAUUCCCUAAAGUGAAUGUGCUAAUUGUAAUAGAGCCCGUAAAUAUGAACACGCUCUUGAUGUAAUUAUGGAAAGAAUGUUCGUUGCCCUUGAAAUUUCGGGCAAGAACUAUAUGACAU